CUUUCUCACAGGGAGGGAUGAAGCAAGCACCCAUGGGGUCAUGUAUUGGUGGGUGUCUUGUUACAAUCACCCUGAAAAGACAAUAAUUGCUUUUUUCAGGCAACCGGGCAUUCUGGUUGAUUCUCUGGCUUUUUCAGAAUCCCCUCAUCUCAGUUCCAGUCAUAUCAAUCAUCUUGUUUGUGUUCUUGGGGGUCUUCCUGUGUAGGAAAAGCAACAAAUGUCAGACCGCAAAGGUAGGAAGCAUCUUUUGUUACUCUCUAGUACAUGUCAACUGGAGUUGGGUUGGCAAAUUAUGCAUUCUUCUUUCCUUGUUAAUCUUUUUAAUCUUAUGGAAUAACACAUUUCUGCUGUUGGGGCCAGCGAUGCUUCUGAAUGUUGUGGGAAUGUUCAGGGAUGCAGGAGAGGAUAUAUUGUCUGAUAAUAGCCUUUCCAACUUGUGUUAACAAGUUCACAAUUUAGCAGAGUAACAUUCCCCUUUUUAAACUUGCAGUGGAUGCAUUUGCUCAGGCUCGCUAAAGCCUCUAGAAUAACUGUCCUGGUAUUUUCCCCUUAUUCCCUCAUAAAAGAUAAGACAUGGCACAGUCUUCUAUAAAAGUAUAAAAAGGUUUACUCACACAUCAUUCUGUUCACAAUAGGAUCCCAGAAGGCAGACUUAGCUUAGAAAAGUUAUAUACACCUGGAAACUAUCUCAUAAGGAGACAGUCCCUUUGUCCUCUCUUGGCUAGAAGCCAAGAGGGCAUCUUUGGCUAAGCAGAUGUUGCUUCUUUGACGCAUGUCGUCCAAGAGAGAGAGAUGGCUGCCCUGCCCUGUGCUUUUGUUGUUACCUGCACAGGUGAGGCCACACCCACCUCUAGUCACAUGCAGAGGAAGUCUGUUCCAGCCCAGAAGGAAACAGGAAGUUUACCUGCUGGCUGGACAAACAUUCUUCCCAAUGUGUAAACAUGUUCACUCUAGGAAGGUUGUACUUGACUGCUCUUGUGUUUCACAUCCCACAAAUGUCAGCUGCAGGAAACCGCAGGAGGAGAGAGCUGCUCUUGUGCUCAGUUCCUGCUUGCUGGUUUCCCAUAAGCAUCUCAUGGGCCCCUGUAAGAACGAGAUGCUGGACUAGGUGGGCCCCCUUUGGCCUGAUCCAGCAGCCAGGCUCUUCUUACAUUACAGUGCUACCUUGCUUCCUGGACGGCUUGGCUCCCAAACAAAUUGGCUCCCGAAUGCCGCAAACCCGGAAGUAAGCGUUCCGGUUUGCAGACGUUCUUUGGAAGCCAAACUCCCAUUUCGGGUGUCGGCACUGUUUCUGGGGCCAAUCAGCCAAUCAGAAGCUGCCUCUUGGUUUGCGAAUGUUUUGGAAGUCGAACAGAUUUCCAUAAUGGAUUGAGUUCAAGAACUAAGGUACCACUGUAUUAUGUUCUUAAUGCACAAGCAGAAGUGUGGAUGAGCCCAAAGUGGAAGUAGGAUGUGUGUCAAUCCAGUAGUGUACAGGAUUUGAUUUAUUCCUGUUUUGCUCCAGCAGCCUCAAAUCUUCAGGAUCUGUUUCCUUAGUGUGUGGUUGGCCCUGCAUUAUGAAGCCUCUUACAUUUCUCUUUCUGCCUCUCUCUGCAGAUUGACUAGAACACAGAACACCUCUCUCUCUCUGACAAUGACUGAGCUGCAUCAACCCCCAGUUUGCCCCCCAAAGAGGAGACGGAAAGCCCUCGAGUGAGUUUGGAUCUCCCUGACGCUGUCUCUGAGAGCAACUCUAGUUGCAUUUCUUAAGAUGAAAAAUUGGAAAUAAGAAUUAUUGCACAUGCUUUGAGUGAAGAAAAGGGUAUGUUAGCUGCUAAUUAAGCCUGCCACUAAGAAGUUAAGAGUGAUGGACUGGACUGGACAGAAGAUAACAUUAAAGAAUAACAUCUAUCCCGGUAUGUUGAAACGGAACGGAAAGGAGGGGGGGAACUUUUCCUUUUUUUUAACUACGAUAUUAUCAUACAACUUAUAGCAAGUGAGACUGGAAAAUAAACUGCGUGGAAAUAAAAAUAUCAACUAAAGCCUUUGUUUUGUGAAAGAUUUGGAAAGAAAAUAAAAGGCUCUCUUGUGACGCAAUUUUUAAUCAGGAUCCACCAUUACGAGACAGACUAAGUUCGAUGGCAAAUCUUCUCUGGAAAGACUGAUUUAUGGUGCAACUUGUCUGGGAAAAUUAAUGAGCAGAUGCUUAGAUUUUAUUUCAUCGGAACUGAGAAAGAUGGUGUCUGCUGCCCGAGCAGGACUUCUGGAUCAGCGUGUGAAGAUUUAUUGCAAACAAAAGACUUACCAGCUUUAAAAAAAGGGAGAGUCUUCCAAAGUUCACACAGAAGCAUAAUAAUGUUUACUUUAACUCGCCUGUGGAAACACUCAGAGGCUAUUAAGAAGAAAAAGGAUAUCAACAAGAAGAUUGAAAGAUGGGACUGGUGAACACUAAAAGCAGCAGAAAUAUGAGAUGACUGGACCCUUACUGAACUUGAAGCAUGGGAACCCCCAACAAAAAUUUGUAAUUUGGCAAAAUAUUUGGACUUUAUUAUAUGUAUUGGUAUAAUUUGGAAUAAUUAAUGUGACAUGAUUGGAUUGUUAAAUGGAAAACUUAAUAAAAAUUAUUUUUUUAAAAAAAGAACAAAGGUGUGUCAGCCCUUAUAUAGACAUUUUAAAUUGCCCGCCUUGGAGUCCAAAACCACCACCAGAAAAAUCAUACCUACAUCAAGGGGUGUAGCUCAAGACCCCCCCCCGAGA